rnacentral:rRNA from 1 species
UACUAUGAAUAGGGAAAAUGAAGGUUUUUAGUUAAAUAGUUAUAUUUAUUUAAUCAUGGGAGAAUAAAAUUAAAAAUGAGAGGUGAAAUAUAUAAUUUAAGAAGGUUGAGUUUAAUGGUUAAAAAAGAUGGAGUCUAUGAAGGGUUGGGUUGAGAUUAGGAUUAGAUACCCUGUUAUUCCAAUAGGGAUUUUUAAAUGCUUGAGUAGUAACUAGUUAUAGGCUUGAAACUUAAAGAAUUUGGCGGUACUUUAGUCUAGUUAGAGGAACCUGUCCUGUAAAUGAUGUGACACAAAUAAUUUUUCUUUUCUCUUGUAUUAUGCAGUUUGUAUAUCGUCAUUAGAGAUAAUUUGUAGAAAAAGGAUGUUGAAAUAUAUUGAUUGUAUAAAAUAUUAGAUCAAGGUGCAGCUGAUGAGAAAGUGGGAGAUGGGUUACAAUAAAAUUAAUUUAUACGGAUAUUAUUAUGGAGGAAGGAUGUGCUAUAAUUGAAGGUGGAUUUAAAAGUAACUAUAUCUGUAAGUAGGUGUGGUGAUUUAUGCUCUAAAGUGUGUACAUAUUGCCCGUCAAUCUCGCUAUUAAUUCAACGU